rnacentral:rRNA from 1 species
GUGCCAGCAGCCGCGGUAAGACGGAGGGUGCAAGCGUUGUUCGGAAUUACUGGGCGUAAAGCGCGGGCAGGUGGUUUUUUAAGUCCUUUGUGAAAUCCCGGGGCUCAACUCCGGAUGUGCAGAGGAUACUGGAAGACUGGAGACUGGUAGAGGCGAGCGGAAUUCCUGGUGUAGCGGUGGAAUGCGUAGAUAUCAGGAAGAACACCGGUGGCGAAGGCGGCUCGCUGGGCCAGUUCUGACACUCAUCCGCGAAAGCGUGGGGAGCAAACAGGAUUAGAUACCCUGGUAGUCCACGCCGUAAACGAUGGGCACUAGAUGCCGGGCCUAUAGACGGGUUCGGUGUCGCAGCUAACGCAUUAAGUGCCCCGCCUGGGGAGUACGGCCGCAAGGCUGAAACUCAAAGGAAUUGACGGGA